rnacentral:lncRNA from 1 species
CCGUUACCAUGUAGACCCAGACUGGUGGAGGUGACCCGUUACCAUGUAGACCCAGACUGGUGGAGGUGACCCGUUACCAUGACAACCCAGACUGGUGGAGGUGACCCGUUACCAUGACAACCCAGACUGGUGGACGUGACCCGUUACCAUGUAGACCCAGACUGGUGGAGGUGACCCGUUACCAUGACAACCCAGACUGGUGGAGGUGACCCGUUACCAUGACAACCCAGACUGGUGGACGUGACCCGUUACCAUGUAGACCCAGACUGGUGGAGGUGACCCGUUACCAUGACAUCCGAGACUGGUGGAGGUGACCCGUUACCAUGACAACCCAGACUGGUUGAGGUGACCUGUUACCAUGACAACCCAGACUGGUGGAGGUGACCCGUUACCAUGUAGACCCAGACUGGUGGAGGUGACCUGUUACCAUGACAACCCAGACUGGUGGAGGUGACCCGUUACCAUGUAGACCCAGACUGGUGGAGGUGACCCAUUACCAUGACAACCCAGACUGGUGGAGGUGACCCGUUACCAUGACAACUCAGACUGGUGGAGGUGACCCGUUACCAUGACAACCCAGACUGGUGGAGGUGACCCGUUACCAUGUAGACCCAGACUGGUGGAGGGGACCAGUUACCAUGUAGACCCAGACUGGUGGAGGUGACCCAUUACCAUGACAACCCAGACUGGUGGAGGUGACCCGUUACCAUGUAGACCCAGACUGGUGGAGGUGACCCAUUACCAUGACAACCCAGACUGGUGGAGGUGACCCGUUACCAUGUAGACCCAGACUGGUGGAGGUGACCCAUUACCAUGACAACCCAGACUGGUGGAGGUGACCCGUUACCAUGUAGACCCAGACUGGUGGAGGUGACCCAUUACCAUGACAACCCAGACUGGUGGAGGUGACCCGUUACCAUGACAACCCAGACUGGUGGAGGUGACCCGUUACCAUGUAGACCCAGACUGGUGGAGGUGACCAGUUACCAUGUAGACCCAGACUGGUGGAGGUGACCCAUUACCAUGACAACCCAGACUGGUGGAGGUGACCCGUUACCAUGUAGACCCAGACUGGUGGAGGUGACCCAUUACCAUGACAACCCAGACUGGUGGAGGUGACCCGUUACCAUGUAGACCCAGACUGGUGGAGGUGACCCGUUACCAUGACAACCCAGACUGGUGGAGGUG